rnacentral:rRNA from 1 species
GAUGAACGCUGGCGGCGUGCCUAAUACAUGCAAGUCGAGCGAACGGACGAGAAGCUUGCUUUUCUGAUGUUAGCGGCGGACGGGUGAGUAACACGUGGAUAACCUACCUAUAAGACUGGGAUAACUUCGGGAAACCGGAGCUAAUACCGGAUAAUAUUUUGAACCGCAUGGUUCAAAAGUGAAAGACGGUCUUGCUGUCACUUAUAGAUGGAUCCGCGCUGCAUUAGCUAGUUGGUAAGGUAACGGCUUACCAAGGCAACGAUGCAUAGCCGACCUGAGAGGGUGAUCGGCCACACUGGAACUGAGACACGGUCCAGACUCCUACGGGAGGCAGCAGUAGGGAAUCUUCCGCAAUGGGCGAAAGCCUGACGGAGCAACGCCGCGUGAGUGAUGAAGGUCUUCGGAUCGUAAAACUGUGUUAUUAGGGAAGAACAUAUGUGUAAGUAACUGUGCACAUCUUGACGGUACCUAAUCAGAAAGCCACGGCUAACUACGUG